UAUGGAGCUUAAAUUAUAUAACUUAUCUAUUUAAUUUAUUAAACCUAAUGGCCCAAAAACUAUAGUAUAAGUUUGAAAUUUCGGUUGGGGUGACCUCGGAGAAUAAAAAAUCCUCCGAAUGAUUAUAACCUAGACUUACAAGUCAAAGUAAAAUCAACAUAUCUUAUUGACCCAGAUAUAUUUUGAUCAACGGACCAAGUUACCCUA
rnacentral:rRNA from 1 species